UGUAGGUCAAGUGGAUAUGGGCGGGGAAGUUAAGUUAACAUAAGCACCUGCUCACCUUGUUUUUGGAAGUGUGUGGCUAGAGAGUGAAGGAGGGUGAGCAGGGUCGCUGCACAGCAAACUGAGAAGAGUUAAUUAUACUCUGGAUAGAGUCAAAUCCAUUAUAUUUUACUCUCAGUUGAUGAAUAGCUGUUGUCAAAACCGAGUGUUAAAAGGAAGUGUCACUAAAUCAAACCUGUAAGUGUAACUGUAUGAAUAUUAAUUCUUAAUAUGUCAAACUGAUUCCAUAAAGGGCCGUGUGGCUGCAGGUUUUCGUUGCAACCAACAAGGAGCACAGCAGACCAACCAAUCAACAUCAAGGGAUCACUUAGUUAUCAGCUGAACACUGAGAUCAGCUGAUUAUUCAAUUCGAGCCUGGUGUGCCCCUCCUUGGUUGGAACGAAAACCUGCAGCCACACGGCCCUUUGAGGAAUCAGUUUGACGUAAACUCUGAUCCUGGCUUUUACACUAAGUGUUGACGUGGCCCCGCCCCCACUGCCUACACCCACUGACGGUGAAGCCAGAAUAAUCUUCGUGCAAGCUGUCCUCGAACUACUGCAACCAGCAUCUCAACUUUAACACUGUUCAUGUAGAUGCAUUAAUGUCUUCUGGAAUUUCUCGUGAAAAUGCUCGCAAAGGUGGAAUAUGGAGGAGUCCAAAAAUACAUCAGAGUUCCACACACUGAUGAGAACUUUGAUUUCCUGCAGUUUCUCCAAGAAGUAACAGACAAAUUUAGUCUGCAGGCUCAACUUGUGACUGAUGGUGUGCUCAGCUUGACUGAUACAUCAGACACUGAGGUUGAUGAGCUGAUCAAGUCAGGGGUGCGAAACUGAGAGGUUGGAUACUGCCAGUACCCAGUAGCAGGUAUUGCUGUUACUUUGGUUGAAUCUGAAUCAGAGUCAUCUGUAUUGCCAGAUGCAUCGGCUUCUCCAGCAUCAGUGCCAAUCCCCCCAGCAUCACCAGCUUCUUCCAUUUCAUCAGAUUCUACUAUUAUCCUCUCAACUACAAAGAACAAAAAGAGGGCCCUGACAGAGCUGGAUCACAAUGAGGCAAGACAGAAGGUUGAAACUGUUCUGGGCUCUAAUCCAAAGGGUGAAGAAAUCUUCAAAGACUAUGCAAAACUAAAAUGCUGUCAGGCUCAACACGCAAACAGAUGGUCAACAUUCUGGUUGCAGAAAUGACAGAAUCAUAUGGGUAAUAAAAUCGCUUUUGGUAAAAUGACAAAGGAAGUCACAACUGGACACAAAUCUGAUGAAUGGGAAUUGCAACCCUUUUUCCAUAUCUCCAAGAUCCUGACUCAAAACAUGGAUAUGAACACUACUAUGACCCUGAGGCCAAUACUGGCUAUCUUGCCUGGAGACUUUAGACAAUCCAACGUAACACCCAUGACGGUUUCCGUGGGCAUUCCAGGCCUGAUUUCCAGGACGGCCCAACAAAACAACGAGAAACUCUGUUAACCGAUGAACAGCUGCUUGGUGAGGACUGCAGGGAGGCGCUGUCUCUAAUGAGACACUCAGCAGAUAAAGCUGUGGUCAAAGAGAAGAUGAGAGCCACCUUUGAGUACAGACAGAAGCUGGUUCAUGACCAGGAUGCAACAGCUUCAGUCUUGGAUGUCUUCCCUCGUUUCCUCGACAUACCUGGACUGAUUGACCAGGAUUUUUCCAUGAUGUUUGGGGACCAAGUAUCUGGAAAGUUCCUUGCGAAGUGGCCUUCAUAUUUCAAGCACAAAGUUAUUGCAGAAUGCCAGAGUCUUCCCUCAAGUCAUUAUGUUGAGGCUGGGAUAGUGAUAGAUCUGCUCUCCUGUUGCUGUUGCAUCUCCUGCCCCCUAUAUCAAGAGGCCAGAAAAAAACACCCAAGAUGAGCUCAGCACAGGCAGCCAACCAUGUUGUCAGAUUUGUUAAGGAAGGAGCCAGCCUCAGUACAUUCCUGGAUAAGGUUGAUUCCAAACAGCCUUUCCUCCUGUGCAUUGGAGAGCAAAAGAAGAAAAUCCAAAGGUUCUUUGUCGUUGUGGACCAGAAAGCUAUCCCAUGCAACGCUCACACAUCGGUGGCUGCUUUUGAUGUGCUGUUCAAGGCUCACUAUGUCUUCAGCCUCUCCUAGGAUGAAGCGCUUUCUGCAUUCUACACUUUAAUCCAAACAACGAUGUAUAAUAUCGAUGUUGGAAACACAAAGGAAACCCCACGAGUCAAAGAACUGAGAGCAAAACUACUGCAAGACCAUUAAAAUGGCACCAGUUCAAAGGUCAGAGCACAGUUUUAAAAACUGUCUAAGAAUCACAUAUUUUGUUUGUAAAAUGCACCACAAAAAUUGUUCAGUUCUUUGUCGACAUUUAAAAUUUCAGCAUGGAUUAUGCUGAUUUCACAAUAAUAACUGGAACUUCAUGCUCCUCUUGAUACAAAUUGUUAAUAUGGUCUUCUCCCCUAUCCUUACUGAUGGCAUGAUAUGUUGUAUAGCGACUUCUAAGAACAAAGAGUCGCUGAGAGGCUGAGGCCGGGCCUUCCCAUUGUUCGACGCGCUUAAUGAAAAAAAAUCACUGAAAUACAAAAAUAUAUUUUACAAUUUCAUUUACGGAAAAGAAUGAUCAACUUAUUAUAUUGUGCACAAACUCAUAAUUAAAGUGAUCACAGUGAUCAAGGAGAUAGCGGUCAACAAAAAAUACGGCGACCCUGCUCACCCUCCCUCGCUCUCUAGCCACACACUCCCAAAGAAAAGGUGAGCAGGUGCUUAUGUUAACUUACAUCCUUGCCCAUAUCCACUUGACCUACAUAUUCCCUCAUCAACAGAAUCACACAAACCUAAACGAUAACAAAACCAAUAUUUCUACCAACACACCUAGAAAAACCCCUUAAACUCAUUCAUGGCUCCUACAUGUUGCCUAAAACAUUUGAUCUGUGACCACCAUAACAUGUUCAAAACCUUGUUUCCUGAUAGUAAAUUGAUUCCCAAACACCACUUAAUGAUUCAUUAUCCAAGGUGUAUUAAAAAAAAUUGGCCCUCUUAUACAUAUGUGGUGUAUGCGAUUUGAAGCAAAACACAUUUAAAAAAAAAAAAAAAAAAGUCUGUAAACAGUAAUUUUUUCGAAUAUAUAAGAGCUACUGUAUAUUUACACCUUUUAAGUGUUAUAGUAUACACUGUAGUGAACAAAUGGUCCUCUUAGAGAGUUAAUUUCUAACACUAAGUAAAAGUGUUUAGAAAAACUAACACUAGUUGGUGUUAAGAAGUGUUAAAUUUUAACUCCAAAAAGAGUCAGAAAUUACACUAAAUUAGUGUAAAGGUACCAACACUCCAAAAAGAGUUAAAUUAACACUCUGUGGUGCGGACCCAUAUAGACACUUAAAAAGUGUUGAAAUCAACUCUAAUAGUGUUAAUUUGAGUAUACUGAUUUUACUGUGUGUAUUUCUUGUUGAACGCUAUUUCCUUUGAUCACUGUGAUCACUUUUAUUAUUAGUUUGUGCACGAUAUCAUAAGUUGAUGGAAGGCCUGGCCUCAGCCUCUCAGCGACUCUUUGUUCUUUGAAGUCGCUACAGUAUUUCUAAAACGAAAAAAUUUAGUCAGAUUGUGAUUGCUGCAGAGUUUCAUAGUGCAUACAGUGCAGGAUUGUGCAUUGAAAGAUUGUCUAUUUCGGCCUAAAACGAAUGAAAUUGUCAUCUGUGAACAUUUUUGCCACUUGACAGGUAUGUCAGUCAACAUCUGAUGCAUGAUGCACUGUAGCCGCUGCGUGUGCCUGACCUCAAUUUGGGUCUUAGUUCCAUAGUUUUGUCCAUGAGUUAAAUCACUAUUAAUAAUUUUGUACUAACCGAUUUAAUAGCUGAGAUCGGAGCAGCCAGUGACAUGGUCAGACAGUUUGCCGUGGUAUGUUCCUGCGGUUGUCAUGGUAACCACUAUGGUACGUUCUAUUAUAUUUGUUAUCAUAUCAUCGUUCUCAGUUCUUUCUUGACAUAUUUUUAUUUGUGGUAUAUUUUUAUAGCAUUUAUGCAUAUUUUUAUUUGACUGCAUGUUAGUCUAUUUUAUUCUAUUUUUUUUAUUCUGUUAUUUGUUAUUAUCUUAAUUUUAUUUUAUCGGCUUUCUUUCUGGCCAUAUUUUUUUCUGGUGUAUUUUCAUUGCAUUUACGCAUAUUUUUAUUUGACUGCACGUUUGUUUAUCAUUUUAUUUAUUCUAUUAUUUUUUAUUAUGGUCAGGAGGGUGGGAAUUUAAAGGGAAGCUAAGGGGUGAACCCAGAUGCAGACACUCGGAGGGCGCAGAUUCAAAAGAACAGAUUUAUUAAACACAAACGAAAACCAAAACUCAGGGAACUAUAAUUUAAGACACACUAGGGUAAAUGGGUACACACACAGAGAACGAAGACAACACCGGGGAAUGCAGAAUAACACAAACAUGCAACACAACGGAGAUAAGGACAAGACAAAGAACAACUAUCAAUGUAUAAAACAAAGAACAGAAAACGCUCCCGAAGGAGGAAGAAACAAAUGGCUAACAAAGACCUUAAGAACUGAACUAACAAAACAAACAAAAAUCACUCCUGAAAACUCAGAGGAAAAUGACACUCUUCAGAAAUAAAAAACUAGAGGUAACAAAACAACAAAACUAGACUACAGAAAAUACAAUAAAAGGAAAACUCACAGGGAACACGGCACAGACAUGAACAGACAAACCAAGGGAUAACACAGACAUGAACAGAGACACGGACAUGAACGCAAAGAUAACGCAACAAAAAACACUCACUGAGGGACUAUGGCAAGAUUUUCUAUGGAAAUGCAGACAAGGUGACGCAGACAACGACCCGACAAAGACUGGGGGGAAGACACAUAGACGAUGACAAGGGCGGAAAAACGCAGGAAGUAAAGUAAACAAAGACACAACAUAAAAGACAUAACAUAAACCUUCAAAAUAAAACAGGAUGUGACAAAAACCAGACAAAGACAACACACAAAGGGGAAACUGAACAAAAAGACGGCGUCAUGACAAUUAUCUUUAUUUUAUUAUGUCAUCUUUCAUCUUUCUUGCCAUAUUUUUAUUUCUGGUAUAUGUAACGGAGUAGAUCUAUAGCUGUCAAAUUAUGGCAAAAACGGUGCAACACCGCCAUCUAUUGGCGCAGUAGUCUGCUUUGGUACUGCACAGAGAAAAGAGGACUUCACUGUGGUAAGACGUGCUGUUGCAUGGUUAAUUAAUUAUAUUAUUUAAUGUUUUAGAUUUGUAUACUUUAUAUUUAGUGUGUCAAGUACUCACUGUGACCUGCGCUAACUGUUUUGAGCACUUAGUGUGAGUUAUAAGACCGUAAAGUUAUGUUUAAAGAUUUGUUAACGAUGCGAAACUAGCUUAAAUGUUCUCCCUCUUUGUCGUUCAGAUUGUCCCGAGACUGUGAUGCUUACUUUCCCAUGCCACUGCGGUGCUGUGUGCUGUGUUGCAGGGAGGAGCAGUAGUACAAACCCCAUAAUCCACCUGGUCGUUGUCUGUGGUCUGCAGAAGCAACAGUAGUGUGGAGUUGCAUCUCACAGAUAGCUGUGACCCGUCACAUAUAGUUUUAAUAGCAUUUACGCAUAUUUUCAUUAGACUGCAUGUUUGUUUAUUCUAUUCUAUUCCAUUAUUUAUGAUGUUAUUUUUUUUUAUCAUUUUUAUUUUCUCAUCUUUUUCAUCUUUCUUCCUUGCCAUAUUUUUCCUGGUCUAUUUUUCUUACAUUUAUGCAUAUUUUUAUUUGACUGCAUGUUUGUUUAUUUUAUUCUAUUAUUUUAUGUAUUCUAUUAUUCAUUAUGUUACAAAGAUAUGUUACAAGUUUGUUUCUUUUGGGCUGUGUGCAAAUGCAGACUGGCGUUUAGUUUUGUUUGUACGACGUUUCAA